GGGGGAACCCUGAUCCAGCCAUGCCGCGUGUGUGAAGAAGGCCUUUUGGUUGUAAAGCACUUUAAGCGAGGAGGAGGCUACUGGUAUUAAUACUACCGGAUAGUGGACGUUACUCGCAGAAUAAGCACCGGCUAACUCUGUGCCAGCAGCCGCGGUAAUACAGAGGGUGCGAGCGUUAAUCGGAUUUACUGGGCGUAAAGCGUGCGUAGGCGGCUUUUUAAGUCGGAUGUGAAAUCCCUGAGCUUAACUUAGGAAUUGCAUUCGAUACUGGGAGGCUAGAGUAUGGGAGAGGAUGGUAGAAUUCCAGGUGUAGCGGUGAAAUGCGUAGAGAUCUGGAGGAAUACCGAUGGCGAAGGCAGCCAUCUGGCCUAAUACUGACGCUGAGGUACGAAGGCAUGGGGAGCAAACAGGAUUAGAUACCCUGGUAGUCCAUGCCGUAAACGAUGUCUACUAGCCGUUGGGGCCUUUGAGGCUUUAGUGGCGCAGCUAACGCGAUAAGUAGACCGCCUGGGGAGU
rnacentral:rRNA from 1 species